rnacentral:rRNA from 1 species
AACGAACGCUGGCGGCAGGCCUAACACAUGCAAGUCGAGCGAGGACUUCGGUUCUAGCGUCGGACGGGGGAGUAACGCGUGGGAACGUGCCCUUUGCUUCGGAAUAGCUCUGGGAAACUGGGAGUAAUACCGGAUGAGUCCUUUGGGGGAAAGAUUGAUCGGCGAAGGGUCGGCCCGCGUUGGAUCAGGUAGUGGGUGGGGUGAUGGCCUUCCAAGCCGACGAUCCAUAGCUGGUUGGAGAGGAUGAUCAGCCACACUGGGACUGAGACACGGCCCAGACUCGUACGAGAGGCAGCAGAGGGGAAUCUAAGGGAAGGGGGCAAACCCUGAUCUAGCCAUGCCGCGUGAGCGAUGAAGGCCUUAGGGUUGUAAAGCACUAGCAGCGGGGAAGGUAAUGACGGUACCAGCAGAAGAAGCCCCGGCUAACUCCGUG